GACAUGAGCUCUCAGCUACUGCUCCAGUUCCAAUGCUGCCUUCCUGCUGCUGUGCUCUCCACUAUGAUGGUUAUGAACUCCAUCCUCUGAAACUUUACAGGAGCAGUUCCGUGCAUGCAUUCAGGAAGAGAGGCUCCAGGGACUUGUGAGAAGGACAUGCUGACCUGGGCCACUGCUAAGACACCGGGCAUGCUCUCUGCUCCGUAGCUAAGACGAAUGUCUGGCAGUUUCUUCUGUGAAACAGGAACUCUGAAGGACCAUCCUAUCUUUUGAAAAGUUCAGCAGUCACUUUUCUGUGAGUCUUGCAUGUUCAGUUCAUACAGCAUACCAUCAAGUAAUCCAAGCAAGAGGAGGUUCUUGCCCAAAUAGUUAGCCUUGCCACAUUGAGGGCAAAUUCCAUAACAAGUUCCUUCAAUGUGCAUCCAUCUCUCUGAAGUAAUUGUUAAUGACAGAAGCAGACAUAUCUCACUGUCCAGAAAAGUUCUUAAAACCUUUUAAAUGCCAUAUUCUGUAGACCAUUGAAAUGUUGAAAAUUAUUUAGCUGAAAUCUAUCUCUGUAUAUCUAGAAAACUAA